AUGAACACCUCAUCACGCUCUUCCUCACAUAAACUCUCCAAACUUCGGGUCCAUUAUGCUUGUCUAAGCACAUGUUGUCACUUACUGCCCUAUUAUCGUGUUUCAGGGCGCUUUUAUGCUUGUAUUAAAAAGGUAAAUCUGUCCUCUUGUACCAUUGCAGGUGCUAUGUUCGGCUGUACUUGUAAAUCUGGAUCGAGAUGA